rnacentral:rRNA from 1 species
UGGGGAAUUUUGCACAAUGGGGGAAACCCUGAUGCAGCGACGCCGCGUGAUUUAGAAGGCCUUCGGGUUGUAAAAAUCUUUUGUAUGGGAAGAAAAUGACAGUACCAUACGAAUAAGGACCGGCUAAUUACGUGCCAGCAGCCGCGGUAAUACGUAAGGUCCGAGCGUUGUCCGGAAUCAUUGGGCGUAAAGGGUACGUAGGUGGAUAAGCAAGUUAGAAGUGAAAUCCUAUAGCUCAACUAUAGUAAGCUUUUAAAACUGCUCAUCUUGAGGUAUGGAAGGGAAAGUGGAAUUCCUAGUGUAGCGGUGAAAUGCGCAGAUAUUAGGAGGAAUACCGGUGGCGAAGGCGACUUUCUGGCCAUAUACUGACGCUGAGGUACGAAAGCGUGGGUAGCAAACAGG